CGGAACGUAGCGCAGCCUGGUAGCGCACCUGAAUGGGGUUCAGGGGGUCGGAGGUUCAAAUCCUCUCGUUCCGACCA
rnacentral:tRNA from 3 species